rnacentral:rRNA from 1 species
GAUCAUUAUAGAGUUUUCUAAACUCCCAACCCAUGUGAACUUACCUUUUGUUGCCUCGGCAGAGGUUACCUGGUACCUGGAGACAGGUUACCCUGUAGCAACUGCCGGUGGACUACUAAACUCUUGUUAUUUUAUGUAAUCUGAGCGUCUUAUUUUAAUAAGUCAAAACUUUCAACAACGGAUCUCUUGGUUCUGGCAUCGAUGAAGAACGCAGCGAAAUGCGAUAAGUAAUGUGAAUUGCAGAAUUCAGUGAAUCAUCGAAUCUUUGAACGCACAUUGCGCCCAUUAGUAUUCUAGUGGGCAUGCCUGUUCGAGCGUCAUUUCAACCCUUAAGCCUAGCUUAGUGUUGGGAAUUUACAGUUGUGUAAUUCCUGAAAUACAACGGCGGAUCUGUGGUAUCCUCUGAGCGUAGUAAAUUAUUUCUCGCUUUUGUUAGGUGCUGCAGCUCCCAGCCGCUAAACCCCCAAUUUUUUGUGGUUGACCUCGGAUCAGGUAGGAAUACCCGCUGAACUUAAGCAUAUCAAUAAGCGGAGGAAAAGAAACCAACAGGGAUUGCCUUAGUAACGGCGAGUGAAGCGGCAACAGCUCAAAUUUGAAAUCUGGCCCUUGGGUCCGAAUUGUAAUUUGUAGAGGAUGAUUUUGGUGCGGUAUCUUCCGAGUUCCUUGGAACAGGACGCCUUAGAGGGUGAGAGCCCCGUACGGUUGAAUGCCUAGCCUCUGUAAAUCUCCUUCGACGAGUCGAGUAGUUUGGGAAUGCUGCUCUAAAUGGGAGGUAAAUUUCUUCUAAAGCUAAAUAUUGGCCAGAGACCGAUAGCGCACAAGUAGAGUGAUCGAAAGAUGAAAAGCACUUUGAAAAGAGGGUUAAAUAGCACGUGAAAUUGUUGAAAGGGAAGGAUUUGUGACCAGACUUUUUCUGGGCGGAUCAUCCGGGGUUCUCUCCGGUGCACUUUGCCCAGUAAAGGCCAGCAUCGGUUUUCGGCGGGGGAUAAAAGCAGUAGGAAUGUGGCUCUCUACGGGGAGUGUUAUAGCCUAUUGUAUAAUACC